rnacentral:tRNA from 1 species
GCCGCCAUGGCGGAAUUGGUAGACGCGCUAGACUCAAAAUCUAGUGAAGGCAACUUCGUAACGGUUCGAGUCCGUUUGGCGGUAC